CUCACAGGAGACUGAUUGGGUCAAUGACUUGGCCAAAUCACCCGCAGAAACAGAAGCCCGGAGCCAAACACGCAGAGAAGUGAUUAGGCCAGUAACUUGCCCAUAUCACUCGCAGAAACUGGCCAAAUCACUCGCAGAGACAAACUGGACAGACUCACAGAAAGCGAUCGGGGCAGAUAGGCCAAGCGAUCUGCCCAAAUCACUGCCC
rnacentral:lncRNA from 1 species